AAAAGUCUAGUUAAAGCAUAACACUGACUUGUCAAGCCAGAAUUGCCAUACUUCAUGGCGACUUUUA
rnacentral:tRNA from 1 species